AUCGCUUCUCGGCCUUUUGGCUAAGAUCAAGUGUAGUAACCAUUUAUUAGGUUAUACUAUAUUGUAGACCUAAAAGCCAUGGUCUUAAGAAAAUUUUUAUUAACCAAAAUCAUU
rnacentral:snRNA from 1 species